UGAAAAAACAGCAUUUACGGUCCUGGAUUGGUGUGUGUCAGCACUUUGGGUUGGGGUUUGGCAUUAGAAUUGACAUAUUAGCAGUUUGUUACUCAGAUCCUUGUAAGUUGUCAGAUUCACUCUGUGCAUGCAUAUACUUUACCUACUGUACUUUGUUAAAAUAACUGUUCCUCCCACCCCCAUCUCCAGGGCUUCUAGCUGAACUCUUUGCAUUGCAAGUUGUGUCCCUGAAAGGCACUGCUGUCCUGCACUGCUAUAGAACACAAAACACUCCAGCAGAGCAGCAAGAUGUGAUCUGGAGGAUAACUGAAGGCCAACUUGUUGCCCAGUGGUUCCGGGGGCGGUUCACAGCAGGCCCUGGGUACGAGGGCAGAGCCCAGCUCUCUGAGAAAGGGAUAGAGGAUGGAAACUUCUCUUUAACCAUCUCACCUGUUGAGUACAAUGAUGAAGGUUUAUAUGACUGUUUCACAGGGUUUGAUCAUCUUGCUGUGGUGGAACUAGGUGUUUCUGUGUCCACAGACAGGAAUAUCACUGCACAGGUUGGGGACCCUGUCACUCUCCCCUGCUAUGCCAACGUCAGCAAACAGGCAAAUCUCAGUCAUCUUAACGUCCGCUGGGAGAAAGAUGGACAGACUGUGCUGGAUAUCCAUAUAUAUAUAUAAUACAGGGACACCUGAAGGGAUUAUUCUUUCUAUUGCAGGCCGUCAGUCAAACAUCACCAUCCAGUCACCUGAGUCCCUCUUCCUGCCGCUCCACAUUGUAGAACCAGUCCGUGUUCUGUUCAGUUCUGGUGGCUGCACCAGUGUGUCUGUGUGUACUGUGGAGGGAGAUUCUGUAGACUGUGGACCUCAGUACCAACACAGGGCGUCUGUCCACAACUCAACUCUGAUGCUGGAAUACACAACACCAGCUGACAGUGGUGUGUACAGAGUGAUGGACAACAGGACAAAUGACACCAUCAACACUGUAUCUGUCAGUGUUACUGUUUCUCCUACAGUGCUGUUCCCGCUCCUUUCUGUGUUGCUGCUGCUGGGGGCAUUGGUGUUAUUAUGGAUGACGGUA